rnacentral:lncRNA from 1 species
AUGUGUGGUUGCCAUAGCAACUGCCAUGCAAGGCGUUCGGGGGGUGCUUCGCCCCUUCUGAGGGCACAGAGCAGCGCGGGGUGGGGUGGAGGCAAAGCCCCGCACGGUGCUGAGAAGCCAUGGGAAGGGUUUGGGGAGGUGGUGGCGUCCUUCUGGGAUUUGGGGGUGCCUGGGGAGCCACCAGCAGAGACCCCAGGGACACUGCCCAAGGGAUGGGGACCCCUGAGUCCCCCACGAACCACAGGACUCAUUCUGCUACCGGAGGAGAUGCAGGAGGGAAGAGCUCGGGGAUCCAAGGAGCAUCCCAGUGAUUCCCUCCCUUGUGCUGACUGCAAAGACCCCGAUUUCCAGGGCUGCCCCGCACCCCCGUGCUUGGGCUGGAGCUGGGGGACCCCAGGGACAGGCUGUGCCCUGGUGGUGAUGCUCUCCCACCCGUGCAGAGCUGCUGGUCCAUUCCUCCAGCCUGGCACAGCCCGGUGCCCAGCGGUGCCCAGCCUCCCACACUGCUCCUUUCCCAUUGCUCAUUUUGACAAACGCUUUAGGAAAACAAAUUCCCCAUUCUGCUUCUCCCCCCUUUGUCUUUCCUGCACCCUCCCUCACCCCACAGCAUCCCACCGGGUGCCCAGAACCACCCCUGUCCCCCUGGGUGCCGCUGGUGUGCCCACAGCAGCCCAGCCCCGCUCCUGUCCCCGUCACGCCACACGUGCUGUGACAGCAAGCUGUCACCCAGCACCACCAGGCUCUCUGCCAUCGCCACGCCGAGCGAUUGAGCUGAAGUGUUGGCUGUUGGCAGAGCAGGGGAAGUUGCUGCUCUCAUCAUCCUCCCUGGGAAAUGCAGCCCUCGGUGGCCCCACGCUGGGUCCCCCCCACGCCGGCGGCGUGCUGCAGCUGCACAUGGCUGGCGGAAAUGUCACCCACUUUGUCUUUAAUUCACAAACACCGCCUCCCCCCUGGGAUAUGGCUUUUUUUUCUUUUUCUUUUUUUUUUUUUUUUUUCUUUCCCCUUUUGGUUUAUUCACAGGCUCAGAUCUCUUCCGAGCGCGCACUGGUGGCUCAUCGCCUCUUCGUCAUCCCUGCCUGCUGCGGAGGUGGGGGAGCCGCACCGGGGGGCAACCCUGGGGCAGCCGGGGGAUUUUAG